GGGACACAGGGUCAUAACUCACCUUAGUGGAGGGAGUGGGCAACUUUAAAUGUCAGCAUUAUUUCUGCCAGCCCUACGUUCACUGUAAUGACACACAGCUUUCUUGUGUGUGUGUGUGUGUGUGUGUGUGUGUGUGUGUGUGUCCAUCUCUCUUGUUUGUAUUCCGUCAGUCAACUCUCACUCUCUCUAUCUCUCUCCAUCUCUCUUCUCUCCCUCUCUUUUCCUGUUUCUCUCUGUGUGUGUGUCUCUCUCUCUCUCUCUCUCUCUCUCUCUCUCUCUCUCUCUCUCUCUCUCUCUCUCUCUCUCUCUCUCUCUCUCUCUCUCCCUCUCUCUCUCUCUCUCUCUCUCCCUCUCUCCCUCCAUCUUUCUCUUCCUCUUCCUCUUUCUCUGCUCUCUCGGCCACUCUCUCUCCCCUUCCUCUCUCUCUCUUCCUCUAUUCACCACUUUUAAUGACCAUUAAGAUCAGCAAAAGAACAUUGAGUGGGACUACUGCAGUAUAAAUAUUCAGGCCGCAAUUGGAUAGAGCGACCAGGAUAGAGAGGCUGUGAUUGGAUAGAAAGAUGACGAUAGAGAGGCCGUGGCACUGGCUGUGGUGGAGGAAAGAGGAAGAAAGAAAUAAUGAAAGGAGGAAGGUUGGAGUAUAUAUAGAGCAGGGCCAAUCAGAUGAAGAGUGACUAGGACACCUCCUGCCUUCAGACAAGAGAACCGGACGCCCUUUAGAACCUGCAGAGAGAACAUGGUUCUCCCUGCAGGUUCAGAACAAACGUGCACCUCUUCCUAGGUACAGAUCGUAUUUUGCAGGACAUACUGUUGCCUGAUAAAUCAAGCAAAAAAAAUAAACAUAAUAACGAUUUUAUUUUUUUAAGUGCCAUUAAAGUAAUUUCAGUUAACAGUAUUCCUUACUCGUCUGUCUUAAGAUGUGCGGACAAACAUUGCCUCAAUUUCCUUCACUCUGAAUGUUAUUUAUUUUUUGGUUGCCUUAACGGUUUCGAAAAAAUGUACACGCUUCAACCAUCUCAAUGUAACUGACCUUGAAUGCUAAGUACAGAAUUUGAAGAUCUGUUUUUAAGCUACUUUGUAAUGCAAUGGCACAGAGCCGAUUUGUAUUGUAAAUAUGUAUGUAUGGAUAUCACUUCUUUCCUUAAACAUGUAUAUUAUCAUAACGUAAUGUAUUCUCGGAUAUCCAAUAAAUGAAUUGAUGUGUGUUUUCCAGAGACGUGUAACAAUAAAAGUGGUUCAUGGGCAGACCUUCAAAUCUAAACACGCAUUCUAAUGCAUCGCCAGGUUUGCUUGUUUGUUGGGGUGAAAUAUGUUUCUAUUACCAUAUCUUUAACAUAACUUGUCAUGUUUUGUUCAGUCUUUUCACUGAUCGUCUGUCAUUGCCAAAAACUGCCAUUCUGGAGGAUCUUGAAUACAACUGUAUGUGAGUGAAUGUAUUGAAUGAUUCUAUUCACGAUCACGUUUAGACUCUAGGCCCUACUGUGGAUUAAACAAGCAAAAGCACAAACCGAUUCCUUGUUUCGGGAGAGGAGCUGCACUGUACCUUCUAUGUAAAUACUGUACAUAUUCAAGACGAGGAAGGUGAGAGUUUUACUCAUGGAUUCGGAACGGGACUGUGAUUUGCCGAGUGGGGGGUGUGUGUGUGUGUGUGUUUUGUUUUUGAUGCUGUUGUUCAUGAGACGUGAGUACUACAGUAGUAGCUUGACUGGCUGAGCGAGCCCAGUCCUUUUCCUGAUGUUAGAGUAGUAGAGGGUUGCAGGCCUGAGCCUUUUCACUUGACUGAUGCCUGCUGAUUUUUUUGCAGUUGCUAAGACACCGCUGUUAUAAUAACUGUUUAUCCCUGGGGAACUGCUAUUAAAUGGCAUUAUAUUACCGACUUGUUGAUGUUGUCUAAUUGUGUGUAAGCUAUUGAAAG
ensembl:lncRNA